ensembl:lncRNA
CUAGGGCUGCAUUGUACAAAAUGGUAGUCACUAGCCACCUGUGACUAUUAAAUUUAAAUUUUAAGCUAAUUAGAAUUAAGUGAGAUUAAACUGAGUUCUUCAGAACAAUACCCACAUUCCAAGCAUCCAAUCCACAUUUCUGUCACUGAAGAAAAUGCUGUUGGUGGCUUAACACAAUGUAUAUGCAUCACGACUACACUGCUUUAUACACUGGAACUCUGGAGGGUGGUUCCUUCACCCAACACUAUCCUUUGCAACAGCUUCACAUAUUUCAUCUGCAUAUAUUAUAAACUCACAAUACACUGCAAGGAGAUCAAAUCAGUCAAUCCUAAAGGAAAUCAACCCUGAAUAUUCAUUGGAAGGAUUGAUGCUCAGGCUCCAGUACUUUGGCCACCUGAUGCAAAGAGCAGACUCAUUGGAAAAGACCUCAAUACUAGGAAAGAUUGAGGACAGGAGGAGAAGGGGGCAGCAGAGGAUGAGAUGGUUAGACAGCAUCACCAACUCAAUGGAUCUGAAUUUGAGCAAACUUUGGAAGACAGUGGAAGACAGAAGAGCCUGGCAUGCUGCAGUCCAUGGGAUUGCAGAGUCAAAUACAAUGUGACUUUUCAAGAUAUCAAAUUAUAAGUUGGUGAUUUUUUUCUGUAUUCCAGCACUUCCACUGUGCUGUUUUGCUGCCUUUUAACCUCCAUUAUCUCUGAUGAAAAGCCAAUCUUUUCUAUACAUGUGUUUCCAUGUGUUAUUUUCUAUACAUAAGGUCUCUUUUCUUUGGCUACUUUUAUGAUUCUCUCUUUAUUUUGAGGCUUCAGCAGUUUGAUCGUGUGUGCCCAUGUGCAUUUUUCUGUGUCUUCAUCCUGCAUCUCAUUGGAGAAGGAAAUGGCACACCACUCCACUGUUCUUGCCUGGAGAAUCCCAGGGAUGGGGGAGCCUGGUGGGCUGCCAUCUCUGGGGUCGCACAGAGUCAGACAUGACUGAAGCGACUUAGCAGCAACAGUAGCAGCAUCCUGCAUGUGACUCACUGGGUUUCUUGGAUUUAUUAGUGAAUAUCUUUGAUCAAAUCUCAGAAAUUUGAGGCCACUAUUUCAAAUAUUGUUUCUGCCUUGUUUUUUUCCAUUUUUUUCUAGGACUCUAAUUACACUUAUUUUAGAUGAGAUAAUAUUCAUCAACAGGCCUCUGGGAAUCUGCUCAUUUCACCUCAAGUGCUUCUUCCUACCCCACCUUGUAGAUGAAAUCAUUUCUACACAUCUGCUUUCUAAGUUUUCAAAUUGUUCUUUCAUGUUCAACCUGCUGUUAAGUACAUCCAAUGAAUUUUUUAUGUUAUUGCACUUUUCUGUUUUCGUAUUUCCAUUUGCUUCCCUUCAACAGUUUCAAUUUCUCUGCUAAGAUUCUCCAUCAGUUCAUUUAUCAUGCCUACAUCUUAUUUGAAAUCUUUGAGCAUAUUUGUAACAUCACACAAUGCACAGGACACGCCCCAAGACAACAAAUUAUCCAGCCUCAAAGGUCGAUAGCGCAGAGGCUGACAAAUCCUGCAUUAUAGGAAGUUAGGCCUCCACUUUUGCUUUGAAUGGCUAUAUUUUUUAUAAAAUUUAUCAUUGCAUUAUUUAAUGAAUCCUCUCAGACUAUAUAUCAGACUAAUCAAACAGAGCCCCAACCUGGGGGAGAGGACCUCAAAUUGGUCCUACCUCUUUUCUACAAUUUCACUGAAGUUUCCAAUGGAAUGGUGUUCAGUUCAGUUCAAUUCAGUCACUCAGUGGUAUCCAACUCUUUGCAACCCCAUGAAUCGCAGCACGCCAGGCCUCCCUGGCCAUCACCAACUCCCGGAGUUCACUCAGACUCACGUCCAUCAAGUCCAUGAUGCCAUCCAGCCAUCUCAUCCUCUGUGGUCCCCUUCUCCUCCUGCCCCCAAUCCCUCCCAACAUUAGAGUCUUUUCCAAUGAGUCAACUCUUUGCAUGAGGAGGCCAAAGUACUGGAGCUUCAGCUUUAGCAUCAUUCCUUCCAAAGAAAUCCCAGGGCUGAUCGCCUUCAGAAUGGACUGGUUGGAUCUCCUUGCAGUCCAAGGGACUCUCUCAAGAGUCUUCUCCAACACCACAGUUCAAAAGCAUCAAUUCUUCGGAAUGGUGUUAAAAUGUGCAAAACUGGCAUUAAUAAAGUGCCACAUUAAUCAAUUAAACAUAUAUCCAUACAAAAACAUUAGUCACACCCUUUCACUACAUCCUAACCAUUUGUUCUUAGAAAGGAAGUUCACAGGAAGACAAAUUAAGAAUGGAAAAGUCCUGUCUGCAGCAGUGAAGAUCACACAAGAUUACAUAUUAUAUCAACCUGCUGUGAUGUUACAUUUACCUGGACUCCCCUCAUGGUUUCUAUUUUCAGAUUCAUAAUCAAUCUUUGACAUCAGAAAUUG